rnacentral:rRNA from 1 species
UGAGAGGGUGACCGGCCACACUGGGACUGAGACACGGCCCAGACUCCUACGGGAGGCAGCAGUGGGGAAUAUUGGACAAUGGGCGGAAGCCUGAUCCAGCAACGCCGCGUGAGGGAUGACGGCCUUCGGGUUGUAAACCUCUUUCAGCAGGGACGAAGCGCAAGUGACGGUACCUGCAGAAGAAGCACCGGCCAACUACGUGCCAGCAGCCGCGGUAAUACGUAGGGUGCGAGCGUUGUCCGGAAUUAUUGGGCGUAAAGGGCUCGUAGGCGGUUUGUCGCGUCGGGAGUGAAAACCAGGUGCUUAACACCUGGCUUGCUUUCGAUACGGGCAGACUAGAGGUAUUCAGGGGAGAACGGAAUUCCUGGUGUAGCGGUGAAAUGCGCAGAUAUCAGGAGGAACGCCGGUGGCGAAGGCGGUUCUCUUGGAACCACCUGACG